UACGAAGGGGGCUAGCGUUGCUCGGAAUCACUGGGCGUAAAGGGUGCGUAGGCGGGUCUUUUAAGUCAGGGGUGAAAUCCUGGAGCUCAACUCCAGAACUGCCUUUGAUACUGAGGAUCUUGAGUCCGGGAGAGGUGAGUGGAACUGCGAGUGUAGAGGUGAAAUUCGUAGAUAUUCGCAAGAACACCAGUGGCGAAGGCGGCUCACUGGCCCGGUACUGACGCUGAGGCACGAAAGCGUGGGGGAGCAAACAGG
rnacentral:rRNA from 1 species